CGGCUAACACAUGCAAGUCGAGCGGUAGAGAGGUGACGCACCUCUUGAGAGCGGCGGACGGGUGAGUAAUGCCUAGGAAUCUGCCUGGUAGUGGGGGAUAACGCUCGGAAACGGACGCUAAUACCGCAUACGUCCUACGGGAGAAAGCAGGGGACCUUCGGGCCUUGCGCUAUCAGAUGAGCCUAGGUCGGAUUAGCUAGUUGGUGAGGUAAUGGCUCACCAAGGCGACGAUCCGUAACUGGUCUGAGAGGAUGAUCAGUCACACUGGAACUGAGACACGGUCCAGACUCCUACGGGAGGCAGCAGUGGGGAAUAUUGGACAAUGGGCGAAAGCCUGAUCCAGCCAUGCCGCGUGUGUGAAGAAGGUCUUCGGAUUGUAAAGCACUUUAAGUUGGGAGGAAGGGCAGUUACCUAAUACGUAUCUGUUUUGACGUUACCGACAGAAUAAGCACCGGCUAACUCUGUGCCAGCAGCCGCGGUAAUACAGAGGGUGCAAGCGUUAAUCGGAAUUACUGGGCGUAAAGCGCGCGUAGGUGGUUCGUUAAGUUGGAUGUGAAAGCCCCGGGCUCAACCUGGGAACUGCAUUCAAAACUGACGAGCUAGAGUAUGGUAGAGGGUGGUGGAAUUUCCUGUGUAGCGGUGAAAUGCGUAGAUAUAGGAAGGAA
rnacentral:rRNA from 1 species